rnacentral:tRNA from 1 species
CGUAAGGUGGCCGAAUUUUAAGCAAUGGUCUCUUAAACCAUCACAUGGUAUACAUUUACCCCAUACGG